CAGGCUUAACACAUGCAAGUCGAGGGGCAGCAUUUUAGUUUGCUUGCAAACUGAAGAUGGCGACCGGCGCACGGGUGAGUAACACGUAUCCAACCUGCCGAUAACUCCGGAAUAGCCUUUCGAAAGAAAGAUUAAUACCGGAUAGUAUACGAAUAUCGCAUGAUAUUUUUAUUAAAGAAUUUCGGUUAUCGAUGGGGAUGCGUUCCAUUAGUUUGUUGGCGGGGUAACGGCCCACCAAGACUACGAUGGAUAGGGGUUCUGAGAGGAAGGUCCCCCACAUUGGAACUGAGACACGGUCCAAACUCCUACGGGAGGCAGCAGUGAGGAAUAUUGGUCAAUGGGCGAGAGCCUGAACCAGCCAAGUAGCGUGAAGGAUGAAGGCUCUAUGGGUCGUAAACUUCUUUUAUAUGGGAAUAAAGUUUUCCACGUGUGGAAUUUUGUAUGUACCAUAUGAAUAAGGAUCGGCUAACUCCGUGCCAGCAGCCGCGGUAAUACGGAGGAUCCGAGCGUUAUCCGGAUUUAUUGGGUUUAAAGGGAGCGUAGGUGGAUUGUUAAGUCAGUUGUGAAAGUUUGCGGCUCAACCGUAAAAUUGCAGUUGAAACUGGGAGUCUUGAGUACAGUAGAGGUGGGCGGAAUUCGUGGUGUAACGGUGAAAUGCUUAGAUAUCACGAAGAACUCCGAUUGCGAAGGCAGCUCACUAGACUGUCACUGACACUGAUGCUGGAAAGUGUGGGUAUCCAAACAGGAAUAGAUACCCUGGUAGUCCACACAGUAAACGAUGAAUACUCGCUGUUUGCGAUAUACAGUAAGCGGCCAAGCGAAAGCAUUAAGUAUUCCACCUGGGGAGUACGCCGGCAACGGUGAAACUCAAAGGAAUUGACGGGGGCCCGCACAAGCGGAGGAACAUGUGGUUUAAUUCGAUGAUACGCGAGGAACCUUACCCGGGCUUAAAUUGCAACAGAAUAUAUUGGAAACAGUAUAGCCGUAAGGCUGUUGUGAAGGUGCUGCAUGGUUGUCGUCAGCUCGUGCCGUGAGGUGUCGGCUUAAGUGCCAUAACGAGCGCAACCCUUAUCUUUAGUUACUAACAGGUCAUGCUGAGGACUCUAGAGAGACUGCCGUCGUAAGAUGUGAGGAAGGUGGGGAUGACGUCAAAUCAGCACGGCCCUUACGUCCGGGGCUACACACGUGUUACAAUGGGGGGUACAGAAGGCGGCUACCUGGUGACAGGGUGCUAAUCCCAAAAACCUCUCUCAGUUCGGAUCGAAGUCUGCAACCCGACUUCGUGAAGCUGGAUUCGCUAGUAAUCGCGCAUCAGCCAUGGCGCGGUGAAUACGUUCCCGGGCCUUGUACACACCGCCCGUCAAGCCAUGAAAGCCGGGGGUACCUGAAGUACGUAACCGCAAGGAGCGUCCUAGGGUAAAACUGGUAAUUGGGGCUA
rnacentral:rRNA from 1 species